rnacentral:rRNA from 1 species
UGGGGAAUAUUGCACAAUGGGCGCAAGCCUGAUGCAGCGACGCCGCGUGAGGGAUGACGGCCUUCGGGUUGUAAACCUCUUUCAGCAGGGAAGAAGCGCAAGUGACGGUACCUGCAGAAGAAGCGCCGGCUAACUACGUGCCAGCAGCCGCGGUAAUACGUAGGGCGCAAGCGUUGUCCGGAAUUAUUGGGCGUAAAGAGCUCGUAGGCGGUUUGUCGCGUCUGCUGUGAAAACGCGAGGCUCAACCUCGCGCCUGCAGUGGGUACGGGCAGAUUAGAGGGCGGUAGGGGAGACUAGAAUUCCUGGUGUAGCGGUGGAAUGCGCAGAUAUCAAGAGGAACACCGGUGGCGAAGGCGGGUCUCUGGGCCGUAACUGACGCUGAGGAGCGAAAGCAUGGGGAGCGAACA